AUUGAACGCUGGCGGCAUGCCUUACACAUGCAAGUCGAACGGCAGCACGGGUGCUUGCACCUGGUGGCGAGUGGCGAACGGGUGAGUAAUACAUCGGAACGUACCUUAUCGUGGGGGAUAACGCAGCGAAAGCUGUGCUAAUACCGCAUACGCCCUGAGGGGGAAAGCGGGGGAUCGAAAGACCUCGCGCGAUUAGAGCGGCCGAUGCCUGAUUAGCUUGUUGGUGGGGUAAAAGCCACCAAGGCGACGAUCAGUAGCUGGUCUGAGAGGACGAUCAGCCACACUGGGACUGAGACACGGCCCAGACUCCUACGGGAGGCAGCAGUGGGGAAUUUUGGACAAUGGGGGAAACCCUGAUCCAGCAAUGCCGCGUGAGUGAAGAAGGCC
rnacentral:rRNA from 1 species